CACUGUAACCCCCUUAACCUUUCCACACUCACAAAAACGCCCCAAAUCCUGUCACUCACCCAUGCCAUACUCGCCUCCCAUCUCACCCAUGCCUUAGUCACCCUAUCGCACUCACGUCUAGCACUGUCACACUAUCACAUGAGCCCGCACAAUUCUGUCAUACUCAUCCCCCCUUCCAAACACGUCACACUUACCCUGUGGAGCGUGAAGGAAACAGAGUGGCUGGGGGCGUGAAGUUGUUUGUAGUUACGCCUUUGGGGGGCUUGGUAUAGAGUUAACGUUAACUACCAAAAACAAAUCUAGAUACUAGACAUAUGAG